ACAAAAUAAAAUAUUCGCUCUUAUAUAAUUCUGAUAAUAGGGUUCAGAAGUUUCUACAGAGUAGCCUUAAACUACUUUACUAUAGGAGAUGUUAUUAGGAUG
rnacentral:ncRNA from 19 species